rfam:Populus trichocarpa scaffold_18_contig_217, whole genome shotgun sequence.
GAGAGCCGUGUGAUAGGUGAUUAUCCAGCUCGGUUCGGAGAGCAAUUUUUGUUUGGUCUGCGCUGGUGAAUGGAAGCGAGAGUAGGUAAGUACUAGCAAGGUCACUCUAA